rnacentral:rRNA from 1 species
GACAGAGAGUGCGGGCGUUAUUCGAUUGAAUUGGGUGUAAAGGGUAGGUAGGCGGCCGACGACGGCUUGAAUGAAAUAGCGGGGUCGUUCCCACGCUGCGUUUCAAGCAAAGAGUGACUCGGCUUGUGUUAAGUAGAGGUUUGAGAAAGCUCCCAUGUAAAAGUGGAAUUUUACGAGAUGGGACCGAACGCCAACUGGCGCAGGCAUCUUUCGAUACUUAACAGACGCUGAGCUACGAAAGCCUAGGUCGCAAACAGG